UAUAUCAUUGUUUUCCUUAUCUAUACUAUAUUAAAAGGAUAUAUAAUCAACAAGGAGAGUGUCCACGUCAUUAAUAAAAUCAGCCAAUUACGAAGCUUUAAAUCGCCAGGUCAUAAAUCCCUAAUUUUGUCUGAAGCGAUCAUCGAUCUCAUCUCGCUGCUGCUGAAUCCGUACGAGACGAUCCGUUUGAUCUGUUCUCUGGAGCCAGCGUACCAACCGUAUUUGAAGUUCGGAUCUCCGCCGUUCUUACUCGCCAUGGCCUCCGUGAAGAUGCGAAAGGCUAGAGACUUGGCUCUCGUGGUGAUCGCGUUCGGAGAUUUCUUACGAUCGUGGUGGCGCUUAAGCCGGAGAGGAAACACGUGGUGCUGACGUCGUGCUCUUAGUUCCCUUCGCGGAGAAGAAACGUUGAGUCGGUCGAGGAGGAGGAGGCAUCAUCGGAGAGGGGAUCGAGAAUUUCGCCGUUAUCGAGUUCGAUCUCAACCUGCGCCGCCAUCACCAAGUGGAAAGAAAGUGCGAGAAAAUGAGAGAGAGAGAAGUUUUUCUUGAGAAAAUGUGGAAGAAAGCAGAGUCGUCCCCUCUCUCUCUCUCUCCAACGUUAUAAACGAUUUGCUCUGUAUUAUUCAUCUUCACCUGAAUGAAACUCAAGAUCAAGGGAGGAUGAUCCCCUUUCAAGUAUAGUAUUUACUGGAGCUUUGCCGUGGAGUCCGUUGUGGCCGUGUUAUUGACGUUUUAGAUUUGAAUCAGCCUACACGGACCUAACAGCAACAGGGAUUCCAGCGGACUAACAGAAGCAGCCGUGGAGAGGCAAGGCAGGGACGAGAUUAGCGGCCAGAAAUUUGAAAGGAAAUCUUCAGAUAGUAAGAUUGUCGGUGAAGAAGAGAAGGAAGAUAUGUCGCUUGGUAAUGGUAGUGGUGGCUCUAACAAGGCGGCUACACAUGACAAAGACAGAGAUACUUCUCCUUCCCAUGAAGGGAUAAAGCUUUCUCUAUGAUUGUGCUGUUUAAAAUGAUCAUUUAUGCAUAGCCUUGGUUUAGUAUUUUUGGUUUAUAAAGGUCAUGACUACAAUUCAACAGGGUAUUGGAACGAGCUACUAUGGGCAGCUUCGUGUUCUCUCUGGAGGUCAAGCACCUGGUGGGCACACUGCUUUAUAUGGACCAUUCGGGUGAUCCUGCAAGUUUUCAUGCUGCUGUAGCAAAGACAUGUUUUGAGCUGAAGAAUCAACUCAUCACUGCUAGCUAUGUUGAUGAUGAAACAUCCAUGUAGAUGGCUAAGAAAUACUUGGAUUAUGAUUCUUGGUGAAGUGACAUCUCACAACUUGGAUAAUUGAGAAUGAGGCUCAUAUCAGCAAGGGGAAAGUGAAGUCUUUCACGCUCUUCCUGUGGUAGCAUUCCCUUUUCUUCUGCAGCAGAUAAUUUAUUAGCACAGAUUGAAUGACUUCAAUCUGAUGUAUUCAAAUCAUGCAAUAAUGUGAUCAAGAGCUCACAUUCACCUUCCGCUUUUUAAUAUUUAUUAUGUAUCUUUUUUUUUGGGAAUCAUAAUAAGCAAUAAUAUUUUACAGUACAUAUGCA